AUUUACAGCGUCGGGGUCUUUCCAGUGGUUAUCAUUAUUACAAAAAGUAGUAAAUGAUUAUAACGAUAGUAUUCAUUCGGCGAUUCGUCAAACACCGACACAAGCGUCGGAAUAUCCAGAUAACGUACGGUUUUAUCGUUUACCGAAUUAUUCGAACAUUAAACGAAAAUUAUUUAAUAUUGGUGACGCGGUUCGUAUUAGUAAAAAUAAAGCCGCUUUCGUUAAAGGAUACACACAGAAUUGGUCAAAUGAAAUAUUUUUCAUACAUGAAAUAAAACAUUCAAUACCCGUUGUAUACGUGUUGAAAGAUGAAGACGGUGCGCUAAUUAACGGAACGUUUUAUCGAGAAGAGUUGAAAAAAACGAAAUUCCCUAGUACGUUUCUCGUUGAAAACAUUUUAAGACGUAAAAAUAAUCACUAUCUAGUUAAAUGGUACGGAUUGAAAAAAACUAGUUGGAUACACAAAAACGAUUUAGUAUAAUUUCGACGCUGAUCCAAGAUGGAAGAAUCAAUAGUUGUCGAUUUUCAAUGCAUCGUAGAUUAUAGGUGUCAAUUAAUUGUUAAAGAAUUGUCAGUUUAUGCGUUUAAUACUUUACAUCAUUACGUGUUUAAACCACCUGAUAAUUUUUACAUGACAACCAAGUCAGCUAGAGUCAAUUCGUGGUUAUAUCGUAAAAAACAUAAAUUACAUCAUAUUGACGGCAAUGUCGAUUAUUCAAAACUACAGACGAUAAUGGACGGUUUCGCCAAUCGAUGUUUACAAUUUUACGUUAAAGGUUUACAAAAAAAGAAGUUUCUCGAAAGAUUUACAAACAAACCGAUAAUCAAUAUGGAAGAUUAUGACUGUCCGAGAAUUGAUGUACUUUUACAAGAUAAUUCCGAUGUAUCAACGAUUACAUGUUCAUUGCAUAAACACCAUGAUGAUUGUUGUACGAAUAAUCGUAUUAAAGUAUUAUGUAUGUGGUUAAAAAAUAAUUGUAUAUUGUAAAUAUAUUUUAUUUUUUUUCAAAACAUGUUUAUAGUAAAAAUUAUCAGCUGUACAGUUUAUUUCAAUAAAUAUAUUAUUCUGUAUUAUUUGUGUAUAGUUAUUGUAUAGUGUACGUUUUUACUAGCGGUUAAAAUAUAAAAUAAUGACGUUUAACCUCUAAAUUGUUAGAGAAGUAAAAACACACUCCCCCAUCCGACAUAAACGAUCUUGUAUAAAAGAUCGAAUUAAAUAGAGGACAUUAUUUCACAGUAUUUAUGAUUAUAAUGAUAGAAUGUAUUCUCCUUGUUAUAAGCGCUUAGUGUGAUUUUUUCAUGGCGUAAAUUAAAUUUCAAUGAAUAUCAUUGUUUUUAGUCGUCUACUGCGUGUGUACAUUAUAAUCCAUAUAAUGUUAUACAUAUUGAUAACAUUGAGUACACAAUCACAUGAAAUAAUUAUUUCAAUAAAAAAUUAAAAUUUAGUGACAUACGUAAGAGUAAAAAUCUUCACCGAAAACGUAAAAAAGUAGAAUAAUAUUAUACAACUGUUGAUCGUCUCAGAGCAUACCUUGACAGUAUUAUAACAUACUAUAAAUUUAAUCAUAAAUAUUAAAAUCUAUUAUUCC